UUGUUAAUGAAAAUUGUAAAUCCAAACUUCCCGGUACAAUAUUUAAGUAUCUAUUCACGUUAGAUAUUGUCAAUUUCUCAGAAAACGGGUUUUUAGGAAUUUUUACAAGCUCAGUUAUGUCGACCUGAACCUGUUUUAAUUGCAAAACCUUAGAAACCUCUGAGACCCCAAGGAGACUAGAUGGUGUAACUUGUGUAGUCCAGUUGUCCUGGCUUUUAGGAGUUUUGGAAUUCAAACUUCGAUCAGAGUACUUAUAAUUAGGAAUCUUUCGAAUUUGCAACUUUCGCUUUCUUAGAUACUUUAUUUCUUUCUGCAUAGCCAAGAAUUUUUUGAGAAACUUUUCACGCCUAAAAUUCCGAGGUUUUUCAAUACUGUUUUUACUGCGAAGGAAUGUCAACUGAGGUUCAACUUUCUCUAAUUCCUUAUUUAAUUUAUCAAUUUUUUCUUUUAAGGCGGUAUUUUCACACAUCAAUUCAUCCAAACGACCCUUCCUUAAUUCUGACUUUAAAUUCUCUUUUAAAUAACUUCCCUUUGAAUGAGGAGUAAAUUUUUUUUCACAUUCCUGCAAAACGUUGUCAACUUGCCAUACAAAUUCCUCUUCCAUAAAACUACUAUCGUCAAGCCCAGACAAUUUGCUCGUAUCUGAGUUUAACAAAGUAGUGUCAAAACUUGAUAAUUCUUCUGUUGAAAAAUUUAGCUCAUCUAGAUUUUCAGUUGUAGAUGAAGUAUAAAACGUAGCUGUCUUUGUGGGAGUAGACGAAUCAAUAGGUGUAAUGCACAAUGGGCGUGCCAAUGAUCUUUCAAAUUUUGAGGGCUCCCUACGUGAUUUUUGUUUAAUUGCUUUAGUUUUUUCCAUAAAAUUUGAUAUGUUUUCUGAUCCUUUUUUCCUUGACUUGACGACACUUGGUCUUUUCAUCACAUUCGAAGAGCAUGCGCGUACAAAUAUCCCUUUUCCUUUCUCACAUGAAAAAUAUCGUUUCCCUUUUACGCUUCCAUCAUUUUUUCCUUUUCCAUUUAACAAUUCUACGCCUAACCAAAUACCACUUUCAAAAUCAGUACUACCGGCAAAUCGAACUAUUCCUAAUUCUCCACGGAUGAGGACUUCAUCCCCGACGGACAAAUAACUCAUUUGAAAAAAAAGAAAGGCUCAGAAAGUACUUGAUAAAAUGGUUAGAAACUGUGAGAUUAGUGUGGGGAGGGGGGAACAAUGUUUGCAAUACAGGCGCGCUAAAAUCAUCACUAUGUUGCACAGUUGAGCAUGUUAAUCACCAAUGUUCAAAUCACUUUUAACACGCAUGUUAAUGUUAUUUAAGUAGAAUGAAACGAUUCUUGGGUGAAUAAACCUAUUAGUUCUUUUUGAAAGGGUGGAUAGAAAAAAACAAAUCUAGUCUAAAAAGCGUAAAUGAAUGACAAGAGCUUUUGUAUACAAAAAAUUAAUUUAAAUGAUAUUAUUACACGAGAUCAUAAAUCAUAUAUAUGACAGACAACAAAUAACUGAAGGGAGAAAGUUAAUAUGCCAUUGAAAUAAGAAAAUUCUUAUCUGAACGGCAUAAUUCAAACAGCAAUGAGCAUAAUUAUUAUUCUUCAUCCUCUUCAGAGAAUAGAUUUAACUCUUUAUUGUCAUCUUGAUUGUCUGUGAUAUCGUUAUCCUGCUUUUCUUCGAUAGUACGAGAAACCUCCUCUUCUUGAUUUCCCUCCGCGUCACUAUCCUGGUCAAAAGUAUACUCUUCGGAUAUGACUCUUCUAUUAACACGACGUUUUUUAGUUUUAUUUCUGGCAUCGCUCAAUGGUAUUUCAUCAUCUUCGCUUACUCCGCUAUCCGAGGAUUCCUGUUUCGAUUUAGAUUUACGCUUUUUUCGAUCUUUCUUUUUCUUCUUGCCUGACUGUUUUUCUUCGUCAUCAGACAAGCUCAUAUCAUCUUCAGAAGCCUUCUGCUGACUCUUUCUCCACUCCAAAACUUCUUCUUGCAUCUUUUGUCGCUCUUCCUGAAGUUGCCUCUCACGUUCUUGCUUUUCCUUAAGUAAAGCUUCUUCCUCUGCCAAUCUUCGAGCCUUCUCCUUUUCCCUUUGAAUCCUAGCAUCUUCAAGUUUGGCAGCAACACUCUUCUCAUAUUCGAUUUGCGCUUGAAUAGCGCGCUCCAAUUGACGCUUAGUAGUAUUUUUAGCCAUCUUUGCACGUUGUUCAAUACUGGUAGGAGAAUAGGGUGGAUGUUCGACAGACACCAGUUUGGUAAAAGUUUCAAUCGAUGCGUCAAGCUGUUGCAUUGCAAAGUUCAGAUCCUCAACAGUUCUACUGUUCUCGGGUUUCUGACGGAUGAGCUCACAUAGCUGGAAUUGUACAAAGGCAACGUUAAAUAAAAGGCUUGGAUUCUCGGGAUUUUUUUCUAAAGCUAAUGUAGCAUAUCGCACGGAUUCUUUUAAAUAGUCGACGUUUUUGCUUUCGCGACCACGCUGUAGCCAAACUCGGCCUAAACAGCUCAAUACACCAUAAGUAUCACUUUCUCCGGUACUAGAAUACACGGUUUCAAAUACCUCAAUAGCACGACUGAACUGUUUGAGUUCUGCAAGGCAAUUGCCAAUGUUUAUGAGUGUUGUAGCAUCCUUAAUUGCUUCACGAACCUUACUCAAAAUAAGUAGAGCUUUAGAAAAUUGCCUGUUUUGUGCUAAUAUAAUGGCAAUACCCUGGGCAGCGUGUGCGUUUUUUGGAUCAAAUUUAAUAGCUUGAUCAUAAGACUGAAUAGCUUUGAUGUAAAGUUUUUGCCUUUUUAACUUUUCACGAUCAUUAUGUACACGAAACUCUCUUGCCUGUCUCAUAUAGGCAUUACCGAGUUGAACUAGGGAGUAAAUGUCAUCGUGCCAAUGUCUAAGGGUCUGAGAGCAGUGUCUAACUUCAGGAUCUUCUACUGGGCGACGCUUUUGUUUACUCAAAUACCAACCAAAAAAUGCUCGAACCUCUAAAUUUUGAGAAUCUGCGUUCAUGAUAUGACGAAUUUCUUUAAACGUUUCCUCGUUAGGAUUGGAUAACUGAAGUAAACAUUUGCGAAUACGGGCAUCAAUAAAAGAUGGAUGUUUUUCGAGAAUCGAAACAUACGCUUCACUAGCUACAGAAGUGUUACCCAAUUCUUCUUCACAACGUGCAAGAUUGUAAUCCAAGAGCAAGCUUAAUUCAGGAUUGGCAUCUGGUAAAACGCUUUUCGCCUUGAUAAUAUUUCCAUGUGCUUCAGGAAUUAGGCCCAAAUGGUACUGCAAGACUGCAAUGUUGUUUAACAAUUCAGGACCUACAGACAUAUGAGCGCUUUCUAGAAAAUCCAGAGCUCUGGUAAGAAAUCCGAGACUUUUUUUGGUGUCCUCCUUCUCCCACAAUCUAGCCUGGGUAAUAUAGAGGUCGGAGUCAACAACCCGUGGAAGCUUUGAGCUUCCGACAAGGUUAAAGGCCCGAUCGAGCAACAUACGAGCUUUUGUAAGGUCUGGCUUCGAAUCUGAGGCAUGAAGACAACCGAGGACGACUAGAGCCUCAAAACAACUUUGAUUCUGCUCAGCAAUACGUUCAAACGUCAAUUUGGCACUGGUUAAAUCAUUUUGUAAAAUCUGAAUUUGACCGAUUCCAACGCUGGACAGCAGAUGUCGAUCAUCUGCUGCUUUGGCCUUUUGAUAACUAGCCAUGGCCUUUUCGUUAUUACCCAUUUGAUGGUAAGCACGACCCAUCCAGUAAUAGCCGUCGGCAAUCAGGCUAGAGGAAAAAGAAUUUUGAAUAACGUUCUCAGCCAACUUGAUACAGCCUUCAUAAUUUUUUUUGGAAUAAACAUAUCUUUCCAAAAUGCUAGAAGCAACAGGAUCGUUGUUUCUGGUUUUAAAUGCUCUUUGAAUAUGUUGUAAAGCUUUUCCGUAAUUUUGGACGAAACUGUCGUUAUUGACGUUUUGGAAAGCGAGAUCGUAAUAGUAAAGUCCAAUAUAGGUAUCCACCACUGUGUUUUUUGGAUCAAGCUGCUGUACACGAGUCCAAGCCGAUAAGGCAUCCGUUUUCAUAUCCAAAUUCCAAAAGCAAAGACCUAUACCAAUGCGAGGAUCGGGCUUGAACUGUGGAUUGGAGACAAGGGCACGCUGAUAAAGCUUUAAGGCGGAACGAUAAUUUCCUUUUGCAUACAAGAUUCGCGCUUUUCCAAGAAAACCAAGGAUGUUUCCUCCGGAUUUCUGCAACACAAAAUCAAAGCAGCGAGCUGCAUUUUCCAAGGACUCCUUAUCUGUGGGGUUCAAUAAAAUUCUGUAAAUUCCAUGCAGCAAGACAUUAAUUUCUGAUUUUGAGUCGAUGUUGUUGGCAGCUUCGAGGUAUGUACGUACGUUUCGUAACUGCUCGUCCCGCAAGUCUGUAUCCUUUUUAAGCAUGGCCUCUCGAGCCAUUGACAAAUAAAUGGCAGCGAUAUUGGCAUUUAGGAUGCACAGACUUUCUGAAUCUUUCAGCGUUUCCAACCCACUCUUAAGGAUUAGGAUGGCCUGUUCUCGUAAACCACGAAUGUAGUAUUCGUGAGCAAACUUCGUCCAAAAUUCUCUGGGAGCUUGUUCAUUCACCAAAAUUUCACACAACUCCGUGGCAUCGCUUGGUAAGCUAGAACAAUCGAUUUCCACCGACUGGUCCUCCUGACCAAGUAAAGGAACUUCGAUAAUUCGCGAUGCAUGGGUUUCCAAGGUAAAACCCUCCAUCUUCUACAAAUUGCCUUUUAAAGAAUACUCAAAUCUUUAAAAAAGCAAGACAAAACAAACCGCUUUGACUAAACACCUUGGUAUCAGCAACUGUAGCGGUGAAUUGAAUGUGUGCGGCUUUAGCGACACGUUCCUUUAUCGUAGCUUUGUGAGCUGAAUUCACAGCUAAAGAGCUAAUGCUAGCUAUCAGUAAGUUUCGCUAAUGUUAUGGCUUGAACACGCGCGACUGAUAAAUAGAUAAGUAAGGUGAAAACCCCGCCCCCUUCGGGAGAAAGUGUAAUUUUGCACGCUCGACAGUAGUACAAUAAACAAUAUAAGGAAACUCGUUAGAAGUCUGUAUUUGAUGAUUGUAGAAAGCAAAACAAAAAGAAGCACAAUCUAAAAACUAGUACUUGAAAGAGAAAGGAAAGUUGUUCAUAUAUAGUAGUCAGACAAGUAAUUGGAUCGUUGAACGAGUUCCCCAUUGCUUUUAGGAGAUUUCGAACGAGGGUGUCGGAAUGUGCUGCUCGGUAAACAUAGAAAAAACAAUAAAAAC